rnacentral:rRNA from 1 species
UACGUAGGAUCCGAGCGUUGUCCGGAAUUACUGGGUAUAAAGGGUGCGUAGGCGGCUUUUUGCGUCAGAGGUGAAAUCCACAGGCUUAACCUGUGGGGUGCCUUUGAAACGGGAAGGCUUGAGUAUGACAGAGGCGGAUGGAAUUCCUGGUGUAGCAGUGAAAUGCGUAGAUAUCAGGAGGAACACCGGUGGCGAAGGCGGUCCGCUGGGUCAUAACUGACGCUGAGGCACGAAAGCGUGGGGAUCAAACAGGAUUAGAAACCCGUGUAGU